rnacentral:lncRNA from 1 species
AAGAGGCUACUAGCACUCUUGGAUGGAUGACGAACCUUAUCCUUGGAGUUGUGGUAGCUCAUAGGAUGCAUUGCUACUCUCUAAACGCUUGAUAACCCUGUCUAGUGCCUGAGAUGGAUCAUGAUAUAGUGUGAUGGUCAAUGUUGGUAUGCUGAACAGAGAAAGCAAAGGAAACUAAACAUGCUUUUUAGCUUAAAGUUUUUAGAUUGAUUAAUGGUUGAAUCCGAAACCUCAGUUGGUUACAAGAUAUAAAGAAACCCCAUGUCCCUAAUGUUUAAGAAAGCCCUAGUCAUAACUCAAAUUGGUUUGUGCAAACAAACCUCUAAUCCUAAUUGAUUUACAUGGCUUAUUCAUAUUUAUAAUUCUAAUUGGUUUAGGAUAACCAAAGUCAAUCCAAAACUAUUUAAUUAAUUACACUUUAAAUAGCACACAUCAAAAUCCUAAAUCUUUUUAGCCAAAUAAAUAAAGUUCUAAAUCUUGUUGGACUAAGUUUAGACAAAGCUGGCUUGUCCUUCCAUUUUAUGGGCUGAUAAAUGCUUUUCGACCAUUUCUUUAUUGGGCUCGUACCAUUUCAAUCAUGGUCCGACCAAGUUGCUUUGCAUGCUCGUUUGGUUAAUGAAAAUACUCCUGAUAAUCCAUUUCCAUCCAUGCAUCUUUAUCUUCCAUU